rnacentral:rRNA from 1 species
UACAGAGGUGGCAAGCGUUGUUCGGAAUUACUGGGUGUAAAGGGCGCGUAGGCGGCCUUCUAAGUCAGACGUGAAAUCCCCCGGCUUAACCUGGGAACUGCGUCUGAUACUGGGAGGCUUGAGUAUGGGAGAGGGAUGUAGAAUUCCAGGUGUAGCGGUGAAAUGCGUAGAUAUCUGGAGGAAUACCGGUGGCGAAGGCGGCAUCCUGGACCAUAACUGACGCUGAGGCGCGAAAGCUAGGGGAGCAAACGGG